rnacentral:rRNA from 1 species
UACGUAGGGGGCUAGCGUUGUCCGGAAUCAUUGGGCGUAAAGCGCACGUAGGCGGCUUAGCAAGUCGGAUGUGAAAUCCCUCGGCUCAACCAAGGAAGUGCAUCCGAAACUGCUGAGCUUGAGUACGAAAGAGGAUCGCGGAAUUCCCGGUGUAGAGGUGAAAUUCGUAGAUAUCGGGAGGAACACCAGUGGCGAAGGCGGCGAUCUGGGUCGAUACUGACGCUGAGGUGCGAAAGCGUGGGGAGCAAACAGG